rnacentral:misc_RNA from 1 species
UCCUGGUUUCCCAGGCAGUCCCACCGGAGUGCUCUGCAAAGCAGGUAGCAACUGGUAGCAAGGGUUGCGCUCGUUAGAGGACUUAACCUAACAUCUCACGACACGAGCUGACGACAGCCAUGCAGCACCUGUGCAAUUGUCCAGAAUAAAUCCUGGAAAGCUGUAUCUCUACAGCGAUCAAAAGCAUGUCAAGCCCAGGUAAGGUUCCUCGCGUAGUGUCGAAUUAAACCACAUGUUCCACCGCUUGUGCGGAUCCCCGUCAAUUCAUUUGAGUUUUAAUCUUGCGAUCGUACUCCCCAGGCGAAUCACUUAACGCGUUAGCUUCGACACUGAUCCAGCUAAGCCGGACCAACGUCUAGUGAUUAUCGUUUACAGCGUGGACUAC